ACCUACGGGGGGCAGCAGUAGGGAAUUUUCGUCAAUGGGCGCAAGCCUGAACGAGCAAUGCCGCGUGAACGAGGAAGGUCUUCGGAUCGUAAAGUUCUGUUGAAGGGGAAAAAGAGCGGAGAGAGGAAAUGGUCUCCGAUUGAUAUUACCCUUCGAGGAAGUCACGGCUAACUACGUGCCAGCAGCCGCGGUAAUACGUAGGUGGCGAGCGUUAUCCGGAAUGAUUGGGCGUAAAGGGUGCGUGGGCGGCCUGCUAAGUCUGGAGUGAAAGGUACCGGCUCAACCGGUACAGGCUCUGGAAACUG
rnacentral:rRNA from 1 species